rnacentral:pre_miRNA from 1 species
AAUAAGUGCAGUUUUGCACUAUUCAUGUUCAACGUUUGACCGUCCGUCUUAUUUGAAAAUUUUUUAUGAUUAUUAUUUUUAUUGCUAUUAGAUGAUAAAACAUGAAUAGUACUUUAUGUGUGACUAAAUGUUUUUAAUUUUUUCACAAAUUUUUCAAAUAAGACGGACGGUCAAACGUUGAACGUGAAUAGUGCAAAACUGCACUUAUU